GCUCCUACCUUGUACUCAUACACUGGAUACCAUGGGGAGGUUUUCAUAAUGAGUUGUAUUAUCAGAACUGAAUAUUUACCCUUUAUGGGUUAUCUGUCUGUAAUAAUAUUUGGUUUCAGGAGUCCUUGUUUGAACCACCACUACCAUUCUUACACCGGAGCAAUCACCUUGUAUCUUUAUGAUCUAGAUAUUUUUCGUCUUAGUGUGAUAUGUGUGCUAUAUUCUAUAGAAGAACACAGUGAUGGAUGUAUUAGGGGGUAUCUAGGGAUGUUCCACUAUGGACUUUUUUGUCCAUAUACAAAUCCCUGAUUUCCCCUCUACUUGUAUAUUGGUAACUUCGAUUUAUUCUAUUUUAUUUUAUUUCAUAUUUAUUUUUAUUUUCUUCAAUGUCCUUGAAUGCGUCUUUCAGCUUGUUGUAUAG